rnacentral:lncRNA from 1 species
UUUUACUCUGCUUUGGCUUUGGAUCGACGGCACAAACCUUUUGCACCUUCUUCUUCUUUCCUCUCUUAGAGAAACGACGACCUGCAGAUGAUCCUCCCACGACAUGCACUGGCUUCUUCUAGAGCUGAUGGUCCUUUUCAAAUGUCUGCAGCAACCCGAGCAAACCAUGAUAGUUUACUGCAGGCUUGAUCAUUUUAUAAUGACUCAAGAAGAAUAGGUAAGACUUUAAUAGUGAGUUUAGGAUAGCAUCCUUAUCUAACUGUUCAUAUAACGGAAAGUCAAGUUUGCUCAAGCAUUC